AUUUAUGGCGGCUGUCUGUGAGAGAUCUUCGGGUCUGCCGGGUUCUCUCGUUGCUCGGUCUGCAAACCCGCGUACAGCUGCCACCCAA
rnacentral:antisense_RNA from 1 species